AGUGAACGCUGGCGGUAGGCCUAACACAUGCAAGUCGAACGGCAGCACAGUAAGAGCUUGCUCUUACGGGUGGCGAGUGGCGGACGGGUGAGGAAUACAUCGGAAUCUACUUUUUCGUGGGGGAUAACGUAGGGAAACUUACGCUAAUACCGCAUACGACCUACGGGUGAAAGCAGGGGAUCUUCGGACCUUGCGCGAUUGAAUGAGCCGAUGUCGGAUUAGUUAGUUGGCGGGGUAAAGGCCCACCAAGGCGACGAUCCGUAGCUGGUCUGAGAGGAUGAUCAGCCACACUGGAACUGAGACACGGUCCAGACUCCUACGGGAGGCAGCAGUGGGGAAUAUUGGACAAUGGGCGCAAGCCUGAUCCAGCCAUACCGCGUGGGUGAAGAAGGCCUUCGGGUUGUAAAGCCCCUUUGUUGGGAAAGAAAAGCAGCAGGUUAAUACCCCGCUGUUCUGACGGUACCCAAAGAAUAAGCACCGGCUAACUUCGUG
rnacentral:rRNA from 1 species